CAGUAGCGUAUAUUAAUGUUGUUGCAGUUAAAAAGCUCGUAGUUGGAUUUCUGACUUGACGCGCCUGGCCCGCCUUGCAUUUCGCGGGUGAGUGCCGGAGCGCGUCGGUCAUCCUUCUAUAGACGGCGCCUACCCUUCAGCUGGGUCGGCGAUCGCAAUCUAUGAUCUUUUACUUAAGAAAAUUAGAGUGUUCAAGGCAGGCUCGCGCUGUGAAUACAUUAGCAUGGAAUAAUAAUCUAGGACUUUGUCCUAUUUUGUUGGUUUCUAGGAAUUAAGUAAUGAUUGAUAGGGAUAGUUGGGGGUGCUAGUAUUCAGCGGCCAGAGGUGAAAUUCUUGGAUUCGCUGAAGACUAACUUAUGCGAAAGCAUUCACCAAGGAUGUCUUCUUUUAAUCAAGAACGAAAGUUGGGGGAUCGAAGACGAUCAGA
rnacentral:rRNA from 1 species